rnacentral:rRNA from 1 species
GGUUAAGCGACUAAGCGUACACGGUGGAUGCCCUGGCAGUCAGAGGCGAUGAAGGACGUGCUAAUCUGCGAAAAGCGUCGGUAAGGUGAUAUGAACCGUUAUAGCCGGCGAUGUCCGAAUGGGGAAACCCAGUGUGAUUCGUCACACUAUCGUUAACUGAAUACAUAGGUUAACGAGGCGAACCGGGGGAACUGAAACAUCUAAGUACCCCGAGGAAAAGAAAUCAACCGAGAUUCCCCCAGUAGCGGCGAGCGAACGGGGAGCAGCCCAGAGUCUGAAUCAGCUUGUGUGUUAGUGGAACGGUCUGGAAAGUCCGACGGUACAGGGUGAUAGUCCCGUACACCAAAAUGCACAGGCUGUGAACUCGAAGAGUAGGGCGGGACACGUGGUAUCCUGUCUGAAUAUGGGGGGACCAUCCUCCAAGGCUAAAUACUCCUGACUGACCGAUAGUGAACCAGUACCGUGAGGGAAAGGCGAAAAGAACCCCGGCGAGGGGAGUGAAAAAGAACCUGAAACCGUGUACGUACAAGCAGUGGGAGCACCUUCGGGUGUGACUGCGUACCUUUUGUAUAAUGGGUCAGCGACUUAUAUUCUGUAGCAAGGUUAACCGUAUAGGGGAGCCGCAGGGAAACCGAGUCUUAACUGGGCGUUAAGUUGCAGGGUAUAGACCCGAAACCCGGUGAUCUAGCCAUGGGCAGGUUGAAGGUUGGGUAACACUAACUGGAGGACCGAACCGACUAAUGUUGAAAAAUUAGCGGAUGACUUGUGGCUGGGGGUGAAAGGCCAAUCAAACCGGGAGAUAGCUGGUUCUCCCCGAAAGCUAUUUAGGUAGCGCCUCGUGAAUUCAUCUUCGGGGGUAGAGCACUGUUUCGGCUAGGGGGUCAUCCCGACUUACCAACCCGAUGCAAACUACGAAUACCGAAGAAUGUUAUCACGGGAGACACACGGCGGGUGCUAACGUCCGUCGUGAAGAGGGAAACAACCCAGACCGCCAGCUAAGGUCCCAAAGUCAUGGUUAAGUGGGAAACGAUGUGGGAAGGCACAGACAGCCAGGAUGUUGGCUUAGAAGCAGCCAUCAUUUAAAGAAAGCGUAAUAGCUCACUGGUCGAGUCGGCCUGCGCGGAAGAUGUAACGGGGCUAAACCAUGCACCGAAGCUGCGGCAGCGACACUAUGUGUUGUUGGGUAGGGGAGCGUUCUGUAAGCCUGCGAAGGUGACCUGUGAGGGUUGCUGGAGGUAUCAGAAGUGCGAAUGCUGACAUAAGUAACGAUAAAGCGGGUGAAAAGCCCGCUCGCCGGAAGACCAAGGGUUCCUGUCCAACGUUAAUCGGGGCAGGGUGAGUCGACCCCUAAGGCGAGGCCGAAAGGCGUAGUCGAUGGGAAACAGGUUAAUAUUCCUGUACUUGGUGUUACUGCGAAGGGGGGACGGAGAAGGCUAUGUUAGCCGGGCGACGGUUGUCCCGGUUUAAGCAUGUAGGCUGGUUAUCCAGGCAAAUCCGGAUAAUCAAGGCUGAGGUGUGAUGACGAGGCACUACGGUGCUGAAGUAACAAAUGCCCUGCUUCCAGGAAAAGCCUCUAAGCAUCAGGUAACAUCAAAUCGUACCCCAAACCGACACAGGUGGUCAGGUAGAGAAUACCAAGGCGCUUGAGAGAACUCGGGUGAAGGAACUAGGCAAAAUGGUGCCGUAACUUCGGGAGAAGGCACGCUGGUGUGUAGGUGAAGUCCCUGCGGAUGGAGCUGAGACCAGUCGAAGAUACCAGCUGGCUGCAACUGUUUAUUAAAAACACAGCACUGUGCAAACACGAAAGUGGACGUAUACGGUGUGACGCCUGCCCGGUGCCGGAAGGUUAAUUGAUGGGGUUAUCCGUAAGGAGAAGCUCUUGAUCGAAGCCCCGGUAAACGGCGGCCGUAACUAUAACGGUCCUAAGGUAGCGAAAUUCCUUGUCGGGUAAGUUCCGACCUGCACGAAUGGCGUAAUGAUGGCCAGGCUGUCUCCACCCGAGACUCAGUGAAAUUGAACUCGCUGUGAAGAUGCAGUGUACCCGCGGCAAGACGGAAAGACCCCGUGAACCUUUACUAUAGCUUGACACUGAACAUUGAGCCUUGAUGUGUAGGAUAGGUGGGAGGCUUUGAAGCGUGGACGCCAGUCUGCGUGGAGCCAACCUUGAAAUACCACCCUUUAAUGUUUGAUGUUCUAACGUUGGCCCCUUACCGGGGUUGCGGACAGUGUCUGGUGGGUAGUUUGACUGGGGCGGUCUCCUCCCAAAGCGUAACGGAGGAGCACGAAGGUUAGCUAAUCCUGGUCGGACAUCAGGAGGUUAGUGCAAUGGCAUAAGCUAGCUUGACUGCGAGCGUGACGGCGCGAGCAGGUGCGAAAGCAGGUCAUAGUGAUCCGGUGGUUCUGAAUGGAAGGGCCAUCGCUCAACGGAUAAAAGGUACUCCGGGGAUAACAGGCUGAUACCGCCCAAGAGUUCAUAUCGACGGCGGUGUUUGGCACCUCGAUGUCGGCUCAUCACAUCCUGGGGCUGAAGUAGGUCCCAAGGGUAUGGCUGUUCGCCAUUUAAAGUGGUACGCGAGCUGGGUUUAGAACGUCGUGAGACAGUUCGGUCCCUAUCUGCCGUGGGCGCUGGAGAAUUGAGGGGGGCUGCUCCUAGUACGAGAGGACCGGAGUGGACGCAUCACUGGUGUUCGGGUUGUCAUGCCAAUGGCACUGCCCGGUAGCUAAAUGCGGAAGAGAUAAGUGCUGAAAGCAUCUAAGCACGAAACUUGCCCCGAGAUGAGUUCUCCCUGAGACUUUAAGUCUCCUGAAGGAACGUUGAAGACGACGACGUUGAUAGGCCGGGUGUGUAAGCGCAGCGAUGCGUUGAGCUAACCGGUACUAAUGAACCGUGAGGCUUAACCUU